rnacentral:lncRNA from 1 species
CAUGCUCUAGAGGGUUAGGAGUAUAUAUAAUGGAGGGAUUUGACUUCUGUAAUAUAUUCAACACAAGUAACCCAUGAUCUUAUGAUCCCAAAGCCUGAACUCUCAAUGUCUAUGUCACACUGAAAAGUCAGCAAGUGCAUGAUCGCUGCCAGGCCAUUUUCCCCCAUAUUUAGGCAACUCUGAUUAUUAGAAGAGUUCUUCCUUCUAUGGAACCUGAGUUGGCACUCUACACAGUAUCAUUGUUCUAACCAUUGUUGGUAAUGGGAGCAGAAGAGUUUGGGUGGGAAUCAGAAAUGACUUGCUAAGACGCUGGGAGGAAAGCAGAUCCAAAGACCAGGGUCCCAGGGACCAAUUCUGAUGAGGAACAAUAAGGGGAGGGAAAAACCCCAGACAGGAGCCAGGG